rnacentral:rRNA from 1 species
UCAGGGGGAUAACGCAUCGAAAGAUGUGCUAAUACCGCGUAAGACCACAGCUUCACAUGGAGCAGAGGUCAAAGGAGCAAUCCGGAUAAAGAUGGGCUCGCGUCCGAUUAGCUAGUUGGUGAGGUAACGGCCCACCAAGGCGACGAUCGGUAGCCGACCUGAGAGGGUGAUCGGCCACAUUGGAACUGAGAGACGGUCCAGACUCCUACGGGAGGCAGCAGUGGGGAAUAUUGGGCAAUGGGCGCAAGCCUGACCCAGCAACGCCGCGUGAGGGAAGAAGGGUUUCGGCUCGUAAACCUCUGUCCUAUGGGACGAAGGAAGUGACGGUACCAUAGGAGGAAGCCCCGGCUAACUACGUGCCAGCAGCCGCGGUAAUACGUAGGGGGCGAGCGUUGUCCGGAAUGAUUGGGCGUAAAGGGCGCGUAGGCGGCCUGCUAAGUCUGGAGUGAAAGUCCUGCUUUCAAGGUGGGAAUUGCUUUGGAUACUGGUGGGCUUGAGUGCAGGAGAGGAAAGCGGAAUUACCGGUGUAGCGGUGAAAUGCGUAGAGAUCGGUAGGAACACCAGUGGCGAAGGCGGCUUACUGGACUGUAACUGACGUUGAGGCGCGAAAGCGUGGGGAGCAAACAGGAUUAGAUACCCUGGUAGUCCACGCGGUAAACGAUGAAUGCUAGGUGUAGGAGGUAUCGACCCCUUCUGUGCCGCAGUAAACACAAUAAGCAUUCCGCCUGGGGAGUACGGCCGCAAGGUUGAAACUCAA